GACGAACGCUGGCGGCGUGCCUAAUACAUGCAAGUAGGACGCAGUUGCGAACGGGUGAGUAACGCGUAGGUAACUACCUAUUAGAGGGGGAUAACUAUUGGAAACGAUAGCUAAUACCGCAUACUUGUAUAUGGACCUGCUUUGUAUUAGCUAGUAGGUAGGGUAAUGGCCUACCUAGGCAACGAUACAUAGCCGAACUUGUAGGGUGGACGGCCAAACUGGGACUGAGACACGGCACAGACUCCUACGGGAGGCAGCAGUAGGGAAUCUUCGGCAAUGGGGGGAACCCUGACCGAGGAACGCCGCGUGAGUGAAGAAGGUUUUCGGAUCGUAAAGCGCUGUUGUUAAGGAAGCGGUACUUAAAGAGAAAGGGACGGCUAACUACGUGCCAGCAGCCGCGGUAAUUG
rnacentral:rRNA from 1 species